UACGAAGGGGGCUAGCGUUGCUCGGAAUCACUGGGCGUAAAGGGUGCGUAGGCGGGUCUUUUAAGUCAGGGGUGAAAUCCUGGAGCUCAACUCCAGAACUGCCUUUGAUACUGAGGAUCUUGAGUCCGGGAGAGGUGAGUGGAACUGCGAGUGUAGAGGUGAAAUUCGUAGAUAUUCGCAAGAACACCAGUGGCGAAGGCGGCUCACUGGCCCGGUACUGACGCUGAGGUGCGAAAGCGUGGGGAGCAAACAGGG
rnacentral:rRNA from 1 species